UCUGCCUGUAAAAUCUUGUGCAUGAAGAUGCUUUGAAUCCAACCCCACUGCAUGAGCAGAAGCCCCCCACUUUCAUGUAAAAUUACAUCAUGUAAAAAAAUAUUUUGAAAAGUAAUUGUUAGGAAACUUCCAACUACUCUGAAAAGCAUGGAGUAACAGGCUUUAGUUUUACCAUGGAAAUGAUGAAAUUGACAGCACACUUGUUUUUACUAGCAUUAACCUUACACAUUACGGACCUAAUUUUCUUUUAAAAAAUAAAUUGUAGGAAAGAGAAUUUUAGAAAAAUAAAAUAUUUUUUGAUUUUUUAUAGUGUAAUGAAAAAUAAGUUAGAAAAUACUUUUUGAUGUUUAGUUAUGUCAUGGAAAAUAAAUUAGAAAAUAACUUAUUAAUAAUUUAUUUUUCUCAAGUUUACUAAAAUAACAAUGAAUAAAUUUUAUAAAAUCUUACAAAUUAAAAAGUUGAAUGAGAAUGAAAUUAAAAAAAAUAUAAUUUUAUAAAUUAUCUCAAAUAAAAUAAAUAAUAAUCAAAAUAAUAGAGAUCAAAUCUAAAAAAUAAAAAAAAUAAAAGAUGAAGAAUUUAAAAUAAUAAUAAUUAACAUUUCAUAAAUUAUUUCAAAUAAAAUAAGUAUCAAUCAAAAGAAUGAGGAUCAAAUUUAAUAUAUAAAAAAUUUCAAUAAAAAAAUAAUAAGAGAAAAACAAAUAACAAUUAUAAAAAUAAGGACCUAAGUUAAUAUAAAAAUUAAAUUUUAAGAGAUGAAAUUAAAAAAUAAAUAUUCAAAACAAAAUAUAUAUAGCAAUAAGAGUUUGAAGAUCAAAUUUGAUAUAAUCAGCAACUAAUAUGAUAUUUCUAAAUUUUUCACAACUUUCAAAAAGUGUUUUUCGCCUAAAUUUUUCAGGAAAAUACUUUGCUGGAAACCAAACCAAAUUUUUCUUUGAUUGAAAAAUAUUUUCCGUUAACCAACUUUUCUAAUCACAAAAAAAUAUAGAAAAAUUUGAAAAAUAAUUUGUUAAAAAAUAAAUUUCAAAAAACAUUUGAUUACAGAUAUUGGAUCGAUAUUGUCAUCAAUCAAACCAUAAAGACAAGAAAAAUGACUGGUAGUUGAAGUUUAGGGUAGAAGCCAUCUGCCUUCCCUUGCAAUUGCAUACGUAAGCCAAUACAUAUGAAAAUUGUCGUAUUUAAAAAAGAUUGAAUUGAAUUGAAUUUAUUUUUUAUAUUUUUUAUAUUAUUUUUAUUUUAUUUCUUUAAAUAUCUCUAAAAAAUAAUAAAUAGAUGUUUUGAGAAGGUUAGUUUUAAAUUUAAAUUUUUUAUUUUAGAAUUUAAAUCAAAAGAGUUGGCAUCUGUUUAUUUUUUUUAUCAUUUUUAAAAAUUAAAUUCUAUUUAGAAUUUAAUUAUUGAUACUUAAAAUUAUUCAAAACAUGAAAUUUUAUUAAAAUUUUUAAAUUAAAUUAAAUUUAAAAGUUUUCAAACAUCUUUAUAACGAAAAUUGUACUCCUUUCUCUCACGUAAGUGAAAUUCAUAAAAAACAAAUAUCUAGGAAAUACAACAUUAUGAUCAUCACAUCAGCAGUGUUCUUUCGGACCACACAAUUCGGACGCAAAAGGCAUACAUAUAUGCAGGCAGGAGUACUCCUACACGAGAACGAAAAGCACAAAGACUGGUUUUGUUAAUUAGAGAAAUGGAGAAGCAAGAAAGAAUCUGUCAUGUAGUGGUCAUACCUUAUCCUGUUCAAGGUCACAUUAACCCCAUGAUCCAGUUCUCCAAGCGCCUAGCCUCCAAAGGACUCCAAGUAACACUGGUCAUCUUCUCAAGCCAGACGCUCUCGACGCCUGCAUCGCUUGGCUCAGUCAAAGUGGUGACCAUUUCUGAUGGUUAUGAUGCAGGCAGCAGUUCCAUAGCUGACCUUCUAACAAUUCCAAGAUACAGUGACACAAAAACUGCCACAACUCGUUGUAGAACUAGGUAUCUCUUCUGGGCAUCCAGUAAGUUGCCUAGUGUAUGACUCAUUCAUGCCUUGGGUUCUAGAGAUAGCUAGACAGCUUGGCCUCAUUGGGGCUUCCUUCUUCACACAGUCAUGUGCUGUUAACUCUGUCUACUACCAAAUCCAUGAGGGGCAGCUAAAGAUUCCACUAGAGAAGUUUCCUGUAUCAGUUCAAGGGCUGCCACCUCUAGACGUUGAUGAACUGCCAUCAUUCGUGCACGACAUGGAAUCAGAAUACUCAUCUAUACUUACCGUAGUAGUCAAUCAGUUUUCGAAUUUCAGGGGAGCUGAUUGGAUCUUUGUGAACAGUUUCAACACCCUGGAGGAGGAGGUACCCCUGAAGAAGUUACAUAAAGAAAAGUAGCAGUACCUCGAGUUCCCAUGAAUUCUUUUUUAUCUGCUCGUACUAAUAGAUAUUACCAUAUUUGCAAAGUAUGCUGCCUUCAAUUCUAUGGCACUCAAGAUUUUGCUUAUUUGUAUCAGGUGGUAAACUGCCUGGCAAGCCAGAGGUCAAUCAAGCCAAUAGGACCCAUGAUUCCAUCAGUUUACUUGGACAGGCAGCUAGAGGAUGACACUGAGUAUGGCCUCAGCCUCUUCAAACCUGCUGUCGACGGUUGCAUGGAAUGGCUAGAUUCGAAGGAAACUGGCUCCGUGGUUUACGUGUCAUUUGGAAGCUUGGCUGCUCUGGGAGAAGAGCAAAUGGCAGAAAUAGCUUGGGGCCUAAGGAGGAGCGACUGCUACUUCUUGUGGGUAGUCAGAGAAUCGGAAGAGAAAAAACUUCCAUGCAACUUUGUGGAGGGGUCCUCAGAGAAGGGUCUGAUUGUGACCUGGAGCCCUCAGCUAGAGGUUCUGUCUCACAAGUCUGUUGGUUGCUUCAUGACUCAUUGCGGGUGGAACUCGACGCUUGAAGCGUUGAGCUUAGGAGUGCCGAUGGUGGCAAUGCCACAGUGGACUGAUCAACCAACAAAUGCGAAGUACAUAGAAGAUGUUUGGCGUGUAGGAGUUAGAGUGAAGGCAAAUGAAAAGGGGAUUGUCACCAAGGAAGAGUUAGAAAAGUUUACGAGGGAAGUCAUGGAAGGUGAAAGAGGGAGUGAGAUGAGAAGGAAUUCUGAGAAAUGGAAGAAACUAGCCAAAACAGCCAUGGGUGAAGGUGGAAGCUCUGAUAAGAAUAUUACGGAAUUUGCAGCAAAGAUUGCUAGCAAGUUCAAUGAAACCACAGAUUCAAAAGCGUGAAAGCUAUGCAUGGCCUUAAAACUUGGAAAAAUGCUUCUUCUCCAUCAAUUUAUUUUACAAGAUUCGAUGAUAGUUGUCAUAUGAAGUAUGAACUAUAAAAUACAAGAUCCAAAUCAUGUUUUCAUGAUGAAAGAAAUAAUAUCAUGUUACUCCAUUUCAAUCUCUUUUCUUCUUCUUAUUUUUUAGAAAAAAAUCAAUUAUAAACAAAAAUAAACGGUUAAGAUUCACACUUUGAUAUAUUACACAUAAGAUUUUUAUUAACAUGUGUGAGAAUAUUGUUCUGUCAAUUAUUCAUUAUGAUUUAGAAAGACAAGUCACAAGCCAACACACAUUUCCAAACAAGCAUUAAAGAUUGAACAAUGAUGGAAAAAAUAAGUCAAAAAAAUCAAAAACCAAGUUCCCAUGGGCAAAAUUCGACCACAAUUUUGUGGUGAGGAGGAAUUGGAUGGAAAUUCAACAACGUUCAAAUUUCAAGGGUGCCGAACCCAUACAUUUUUUGCUUCACCUAUUUUUGAGUCAAAACAAUAGUUUCACGAGUGGUUAUGAGUUAGACGAGUUAUUACAUAUAUUAUUUAUGGGUUUGGUAUCAUACCGAGUUCAAGUAAGUAGAGUCCCAUGAGUAUUAGAUGUAGCGCCUGUUCGAGAAUAUAUUUACAGUUGAUUUUUAAAGUAUUUUUUACGAUGAAAUAUAUUAAAAUAAUAUUUUUUUAUUUUUUAAAAAUUAUUUUUAAGAUAAACGCACUAAAACGUUUUAAAAUAUAUAAAAAAUUAAUAAUUUUUACAUGAUUUAUACCGCAUUUUUAAACAAUGUCUUAGUUUUCUUAAACUUGGCUAAACGCCAAGCCUUUAUUAAUUAUGGAUCCAGGGAACUGUCAGAUUUAUUAUUCGUAAACUUGAUUGCACAUUUAAACAUGGAUAUGGCGACCUUCUCAAACUGGGCUUGGCUUCAAAUUUCAUUCGAACGGCUGAGAAGCUGAAACAUGAAAAACAACAUUUUGUUGUUGAGUAGCAUCCUGUCGAUCAAUUUUCCCGCAAGAUUAUUAGGCGUAAGAGGCAUCAUCAUCGUGGCAGAGUAGAUACGUGCACCCAUAAUAUAAGCUUGAUGAAUUUUGUCUUCAAUCAUGUAUUUACUGUCUUGGGAAAUUUUCAUAUCUUUGAAGAUUUUGAUAUCUUAGCAAAUAUAUUUGUUAGCAACAACAAAUUGCUAAUGUAAGCAAAAAAAAAGAAACUUUAACAUGUAAAAUAUAAAUUUUACAUCGAAUCAAUGUGAAAAUAUAAUUAUUUGUGAGCAUGGAUUUAUUGAUUAUCAAUGUGAAAAUAUAAAUCUCGCUAACGUAAAAAAAAAGAAUUAAUAUGCAAAAUAUAAGUUAGUCAACAAAAACAAUCCAAUAAAUGAUUGACACACGUCAAUUCAAAAUUUAAAAAUAAAAAAUAAUCUUAAAUAAAAAAAAGGAUGAAAAUCAAUUUUUUUAAUGAAAUAAAAAAAAAUAUUGUUAUCCAUAAAUAUAAUUACCCUUGCGUGAGCACAUGCCCUUUAUGGGGUAUCAGAUUCAGGAAUACAGGGCUUGAAAGCAUUGUAUGAACAGUUUUUGUUCGCCAUUAUCCAAGGAUGGGCCUUUUUCUGUUAUUUCUUUGAAAAUACAGUUUAAUUUUUUAACUUUAUUUUAUUUAUUUAAAUAUACACACCUUGGAAAAUGACCCUCGCCCAUUUUUAAAACAACCCAGAAUCCAAGAAUUAAUCAAAAUCACCAAAAGAUCAUUCACUCUCUUGUAUGGGUCAUAGUUAUAGAACCGAAUUCUCUUGGUGAGUUGACUUAGGAUUUAAUAUCUAGACUUAUCCGAGCCAAAGAAAAAACUAAGAGAGAAAUCGAUUCGAUCUAAUCUGAUUAAAAACUCAAGUUGAUCUGUGACCCGAUCAAUCUUGAUAAAACCUAACAAAAAAUAUGUUAGAGUUUUUUUUAUAUAUAAAAAAAAACAUUGUCACAUAGAUCCUUUAAAAAAAUAUUAGUAAACCCUCCUAAUUUAAUGAACCAAGCCUUAUUUCAAAUCGAUUUCCAGAUCAAAUUUUUAAAACUAUGGCAUGGAUGAUCAACCUCGUAAUUAUGGUUUAUUUGUUUCUACGUUUUAAAAGCGUUUUUAAAAAUUUUAAAUUUUUUUCUUUGUUUCAAAUUAAUAUUUUUGUUUUUUCCGGAUCAUUUUGAUCUACUGUUGUCAAAAAUAAUUUUUAAAAAUAAAAAUAUAUAUUAUUUUAAUGUAUUUCUGAGCAAAAUACACUUUAAAAAAUAAUCAUUAUCAUCCUUUUAAACACCUUUUAAAAAAGAUGAAGAAAAAUAAUUUUGCUUUUUAGUAAGAGAAAUUUUUGUGAACAUGAACCGUCCUUUUCUUAUCAGAGACUCCUGGAAACUGUUAACAUUAGAGCUCCUUUCUUCACCUUCUGAGGGAUAGUUGAUGACUCUACGGAGGACGGUCUUUCAUCUCUCUGAUACAGUGUUUGAAUGGCAUUGGCUAUUGAUGAAUUUCUCGCAUGAAAGAACUUUUGGGCAUUGGCUGUUAGAUUCUGGUGGGUGUUUUGGAUUAGAUCUGAAGUCACAUUCUCUGAAUUAUAUUCAUUGAGGGCAUGACAUGGUCCUAGGUCCCUGGCAUGAGCCUAGUGAUAUGCUUAGUUAGCCUUAAUAAAUUUUAAACUAACAAGGGCACAAUGUAAUAACAUCCAAGUUCUUGAACCGAUUUAGUUUAAAAUUUUUGUUGGCUCUGCCUUAACGUUAAGGCUGAAAGAGAAAUCUGGUUACUGAAUAUAGAAAUCUGGUGUUGUAUCAAUUUUGGAGUGCUUUGAUGCGAAGGUCCGUGCCUAACUCCUCUUCUCUUCCAGAAAUAGAAUUCAUAUGUGUGAGCUAUCCAUCAUCUUUUAUCUGUAUUGAGUCCCUUGUUGCUUAUUGAACGUACAUUUGGGUAAAUGGUAAUCAUACGAGUUUAAUGAUAUAAUUAAUUUAAGAAAGAAGAAGUAUAGCACAGAAGAAGUCUGUGGUCAGUGAUUAUUCAGUACUGUUGUUGCCUAAUUUUUAUCCAUCUUUUUAAUAAAAUUUUCAAAAAAAUCUAAAAAUAGCGAAAAACAACAAAAAUCCAAAAAAUACGUUUUUUAAUAUAUUUGCAUUGUUUUUAUCAUUUUCAGCAUCGUCUCAAAAAAAUUUAAAUUUUUAAAGAUCUUUGGAACGCGUUAUUUUUAAAAUCACCGAUUUUUCUCAUUCGAGUCGAUGUUGAUAAGAAAAAUCUAAACAGAAACGGCUAUGACCCGCAGAUCCAGAUCCACUUCCAACCGAACCCGCCGACUGAACAACCACACCCAUCUCCUCAACAGCAACGGCCGUGACCCGCCACCGCUAGAUAUGCCACCGGAAGGAGAGGGAAAGAACAACAAACCAGGAAAGACUCGAAAGAAGCAGAUCAUGAGAAGGAGAAGAAAAAUAACGGAUCCAUGAAAAAGGAGAAAGAAAUUAAAAUCAACUGGCUUGUGUGUUUUUCUCCUUUUGUAGGUGACAGUGAUCCUCACCGCCGGUGAGGAAAGGAAGAGGAGAAGAAGCCAAUCUCGAUUGCCCUGUUUCCCGGUUCUCGCAGGGGCGAGUGAAUCCACGCGCCGCCAGUGGCAAUGUCGCGUGGAGAAGACGCGCCGCCACUGUUCUUGCAGUUCUAGAAGGCCUUCCCUGCAAUUCCUGGAGUUUUGGGGUUUAUUUUGUAAAUUUAAAAUUGUUUAAUGUACAUUUUGUUUAGUUUUGAAUUUUUAUAAUCUGUAGUGUGCAAAUGUGGAUGUAGAAAAGGAAAACAAAAAAAUAUAUAGUGAAAGUGAAUGUGUUGUUUGUAUUUUUUUAUGAUAAACUUGCAAAGAAUAAAGAAGAAUUUAAUGUUUUGACUUGCUCACGGUAAAAGAUUAUGAACUUACACGUAAGUUGUAUUUCUAAUAUCCGAUGAAAAGACAAAAUUUUUAAAACUUCUUUAUCAUAUCAAAUCACGAAGCAGUUUACCUCAGGUAGGGUGCGCUAGGGGUGCUAAUACCUUUCCUAGCCACAACCAGUCCCUUACCCUUGAAUCUCUGACGAUGACCAGUACAUUUGGGUUUCCUAGUAACCUUCAAUGAAAUACUAGGUGGUGACUCCCAAAUCAUCAAUCAAACAAAUGAAAAUCGCCAACAGACGCCGCGCGGGUCACGUGCGACAAGUACCCUUCUAUUAAAAAUAACUUUGGCAUUUAUAGCCAUACACUUCAUAACAGAACUAACAAACAAACAAAUAAGAAAGAGUUCCAGCACUCUCCACGUCUAACAAUUAACCAACUGAUCCACGUUUUGCAGUUCCCUAAAGUAGUGCAGUCACUACUUGUUCCUGUAGCAUGAUCUCCUGACCACGUUCUUGUGAUAGUGGAUGUAUCAUUCCCGCCCACUUAAGAAUCCUUGUCCACAAGGAUAGAAGAAGGAUAAGUCCUAGUGAAACGCCAUUCAUUCUCCACUGGUUCGAGUUGGCCAUUCAUAGUGUCCUCACUGUAUAUGUUAGGAGAAUCCCAAAUCAUAAAUAAUUGAGGAUGUUGGCAACGAUGUCCUGGAAUAAACUUUUCAUCACAGUAGUAGCAUAAACCCGUCUCUCUUCGCUCUCGUGCCUCUUGAUUAGUAAUUCUGCAAAAAGACGCUGGCGGUGCACUGGGACUGGUAUUUAUCCUUAGACCAUGUGGUGGCCCUAACACUCCAGCCGUGGGGUUGGGUGAUGUCUUUGCUAUCACUGAGGUUGGUACUAGGUUUGGUACAGACUGUAUUGGGAGAGGGCCUCUCUUCUUCAACUGAUUUUUUUCCUCAAUCAAUCUUGCCACUCUAAUGGUAUUUGCCAAGGUAUGGGGUUGCUUAAUUUUAACAUCCAAACGAAUCUCAUCCCGAAGUCCUGCAAUAAAACAACCAAUCAAAAAAUUUCCCGGCAAGCCAUCAACUUGAUGUGAGAGUCUCUCAAAAGUCUCUUGAUAAGCUGCCACCAACGUGUUUUGUUUAAGACGAGUCAAGGCUUCAGACAGGUCCUCAUUGUCGGUUGGACCGAAUCACUGUUGUAUAGCUUUCAUAAACUCAUCCUAUGUUAAUGGUCCGCGAAACUUGGUCAACCACCUAUGCCACUAUAAGGCAAUGCCUCUAAAUGGAAAGAGGCCAGCUGAACCUGUUGGUUUGGCACAAAAUUUUGAAAUUCAAAAUAUUAUUCUACCUUGUAAAUCCAUCCAGUUGGAUCACCUCCAUUAAAUUUAGGAAAUGAUAACUUGAGAUUGUGGUGUUGAUGGUUAUUAAUGGGGUUAGGGUGGGUGGUCUGGUGGUGUGAAGACUCUUCAUUAGCAAAGGUGUAAUGUUAGGAGAACUAGUGUUUAGUUUACGGGUAGUAUGAAGAGCUUGAAGUUCUGUCAAUACCACUUAUAAGGUAGCAUUAAUUUGAUCAAAGCUCGACUCGUGUCUAACUAGGAUUUCAUUGACUUCAUUGCGAAAUUAUGUGUUUCAUUUGCCGCGAGUAUCCAUAGUCUAAACUAAGAAUAACCGGGGGGAACAAGGACCUAUGGGUUAUGGGGAAUCAGGCUCUGAUACCACUGAUAUAAUUAAUUUAAAAAAGAAGAAGCAUAGCAGAGAAGAAGUCUGUGGUUGGGGAUUAUUCAGUACCCUUCUAUUAAAAAUAACUUUGGCAUUUAUAGCCAUACACUUCAUAACAGAAUUAACAAACAAAUAGGAAGGAGUUACAACACUCUCCACGUCUAACAAUUAACUAACUGAUUCACGUUUUACAGUUCCCUAAAAUAGUGCAGUCACUAUUUUUCCUAUAGCAUGAUCUCCUGGCCACGUUAUUGUGAUAGAGGAUAUCAUUUAAGUGCUUCUGGCACCAUGACAGUGUUUGAAAUAUGGAUCAUCUGCUAUUCUUUCCAUUGAAAUACACUAGUGUACAGGUGAAACACAAAAGGAGGCAUGAGCUAACAAAAUUUCAGCAGUGUUGAAGAUAUUAUUAAAUCUAUUGAAGAUAAUACUGAUACUGAAGAUAAACAUGAUCAGGGAUCACUGAUACUGAAGAUAAUCGUGAUCUCUGAUCAUAUCUGCACAAGAGAUUAUCACUGAUACUGAAGAUAAUCAUGAUCAGUGAUUACUGAUACUGAAGAUAAUACUGAUAUUGAAGAUAAUCAUGAUCAGGGAUUGCUAUCAUAAUCAGGGAUCCCUGAUACUGAAGAGAUCAUGAUCAGGGAUCACUGAUACUGAAGAUAAUCAUGAUCUCUGAUCAUAUCUGCACAAGAGAUUACUGAUACUGAAGAUCAUCGUAAUCAUAUCUGCAACAGAUAUUCUAGGAAUUAAGUGUAUAUCUUAUCAUUAAUUGCAUUCUUAAUGAUAGGAUUUUUGAAUCAGGGAUUGUAAUAUAUAUAAGACCAUGAUGUAACAGUAUAUCAAUUAAUAAAGCAAAUAUAUUUCUGUAAUUCUUCUUCCGCACAUCUUUCUCUCUUUAUUCUUUUAUCUUUCAUGGUAUCAGAGCCAUUGACACACGUCACACAAAUGGCUUCCUUUUCACUAAACAGCUCAGAUGUUGCUACUAAUGGCAAUCCCCCACCUGUUUCUCCUCCAGCUAUAAAUGUUACAAAACUCUCAAAAGACAACUAUCAUAUCUGGAAAGCUCAAUUAAUUCCUUUCUUCCGUGGGCAAGGUCUCUUUGGAUGCCUUGAUGGAACCCUUCCCGUCCCACCCAAAGAAGUUUCCAUAGCUGAAACCUCCUCUGCCAUCUCCAACCCUCUCUAUGAACAUUGGUAGCGACAAGAUGCCAUCAUAGUUGCUAUUCUCUUCUCUAUAAUUUCAGAAAACGUUCUUAUUCAAGUGGUCUCUCAUACCACCUCUGCUGCAAUCUGAUGUGCUCUAGCCAAAUCCUUCUCCUCUCAAUCACGUGCUCGGGUUAUUCAACUCCGCACUGAACUCGUCAACACUCGUAAAGGUGCACAAUCAGCUCAUGAUUUUUUUAUGUAGGUCAAACGCAUGACAGAUGAACUUGUUGUUGCCGGCCAUGCUCUUCACUGUGAUGAAAUCAUCUCCUAUCUCUUAUCGGGUCUUGGCCAUGAUUAUGACUCCUUUGUUAUUACCAUCACAACCCGCACAGAUCCUGUCACCUUAAAGGAAGUAUAUGCUCUCUUACUCACCACAGAGUCACGUCUGCAGCACCACAAUUCACCCAUUGUCCAGCCCACUGUUCAUGUUGCUACUCGUCAGUCCUCUUCUUCUUCCUAUAGAGGGCGAAAUUCAUAUAGAGGUAGAGGCUGGAAUUACAAAGAAGUCUUUUUCUAUAAUGGUUCCAAUGGCAGGAACACAUUUCAUAGAGAUACUAUGAUAUGUCAGGUCUGUGAUAAACCUGGCCAUUCUGCAAAAAAAUGCUAUCAUCGGUUUGACGUUACCUAUCGUGACAAUGCUGCAAAAUCCAGCAAUCUGCAAGGUCUGAUGGCUAUAACAAGUUCUGUUUCUGCAACUGAUUGGCAUCCUGAUACAGGUGCUACACAUCAUCUCACCAAUAAUAUGGCCAACUUAAAUCUACGGAGUGAAGACUAUACUGGUUCAGAUCAAAUCCUUGUUGGCAAUGGUGCAGGUUUGCAAAUUUCUCAAAUUGGUUCCUCUAUUUUAACUCCCUCAAAAACACCGUUUGUGCUCAAACAAUUACUUCUUGUCCCUGAAAUUCAAAAAAAUCUAAUUUAUGUUCAACAAUUUUGCAGUGAUAAUCUUGUGUUUUUUUAAUUUCAUGAUCGUUUUUUUUCUCAUUAAGGACUACUCGAGGAAAAUCCUUCAUUGCGGCACCUUUAAAGAUGGUCUGUAUUCAUUCUCCAGCCUGUCAGACACACUCCCUCCUCAUGCACUCACUGUUGUACGAGCUUCUUACCAAAUAUGGCACAACAAGCUUGGUCAUGCAUCCUUUCCAGUUCUUCAAAAAUCUAUUUCAGCAUUUACAUUACCUGUUGCAAAUAAAAGGCUUCCAGUUUGUUCCGAUUGUCUACUAGCUAGAAGCAGUCAAUUGUCUUUCAAAACCAGCAAUCACAAAUCUAUUAAUCCUUUAGACAUAGUGCAUACUGAUGUUUGGGGACCAGCACCCAUCUUGUCAACCAGUGGUGCUCGAUACUAUUUAUGUUUUUUAGACAAUUGCACUAAAUUCAUAUGGUUGUUUCCUCUUAAACUCAAAUUUGAUGUUGAGAAAGUCUUUCUGCUCUUUAAAACUUCAGUUGAACGACAAUUUAAUCGUACCAUAAAAAAAUUCAAUCUGAUUGGGGAGGCGAAUAUCGCCGCAUGUCUACACUUUUAACUCAAAUUAGCAUUCAUCAUCGUAGAGCAUGCCCAUACACUCAUUAGCAAAUGGGUGCAGUUGAACGUCGUCAUAAACAAAUUGUUAAGGUCGGUCUUUCCUCACUCUCACAUUCUAAAAUUCCACAACAAUUUUGGGAAGAUGUUUUUCUCACGGCCACUUAUAUUAUCAAUCGUCUCCCUACUCCUAUUCUUAAUAAAAAAAUCUCCAUACAAAAUUGUUUAUCGUCAUACUCCUGACUAUCAUUUCCUUAAAGUUUUUGGUCGUGCAUGCUGGCCUUAUCUUCAACCAUAUAAAAAACACAAAAUCGAUUUCAGAUCUAAAAACUGUAUUUUUAUUGGUUAUAGCUUGGACCAUCAUGUAUAUAAAUACCUUGAUCUUGCAACAGGUAAAGUUUAUGUAUCUCGUCAUGUCGUUUUUGAUGAAAACCAUUUUCCAUAUAAAAGUCCUGAUCACCAAUCUUCUAUCUGUCUAGACACACCCUCCAUCGUAGUUCCAUUUUCAAAUACUAUUUCUUCCUUGUCACUAACACUUGUAGGUACAUGUGCAACUUCACCAUCGCCACACAUUGACUCUCCUCUGCCAGCAUCAUCUCCAACUUCAGAGUCGGCACCUCAAUCCCCAGCAGACAUUACCCCUGCCUCCCCUCCCAUACCAGUUCCACAUCCCACAGACACAAUCCCAACAAUUUCAAAUAAUCACCCGAUGGUUACAAGAUCAAAAAAUCACAUUUCCAAACAAAAAAAAACCCCUGAUGGACACAGCUUAUAUCCCCUACCCCGAGCACUGCAGGUUUCUGCCUUUCCCUCCUGCAAGGAACCAACCUCAUUUACUGAAGCCGCCAAAUCUUGUCAUUGGCGAUCUAUAAUGAAUUCUGAAUUUGAUGCCUUGCUCCGCAAUCAAACCUAGUAACUGGUCCCUCCAUCACGCCAUCUUAAUGUCAUUGGCUAUCGUUGGAUUUUCAAGACUAAAGGAAAGCUGAUGGCUCCAUUGAAAGAUAUAAGGCCCGACUGGUAGCUAAAGGUUAUCAUUAGCAGCUAGGGGUGGAUUUUCAUGAAACUUACAGUCCAGUUGUAAAACUUGCAACUAUCCAGCUUGUUUUAUCCAUUACAGUCUGCAACAAUUGGACAGUUUGUCAACUGGAUGUCCAAAAUGCAUUUCUUCACAACAAUCUGUUAGAAGUGGUUUAUACCAGGCUUCAAACAUCCUCAGUUUCUUGAUCAUCUCUGUAAGCUCAAACUCUCUUUAUAUGGCCUUAAACAAGCGCCUCGCCAGUGGUUUUCAUGCCUUGCUGCUGUGUUGAUACAGUUCGGUUUUGUUGCCAGCAAGGCAGACUUGCCACUCUUUAUGCACACCGACACCUCUAGCAUCAUCUUCAUCCUCAUUUAUGUUGAUGACAUUAUCAUCACUGGUUCUAAUGAUGUCAUUGUCACAGAUAUCAUUCAGCGGCUGUAUAAGGAAUUUGUUAUCACUAACCUUGGUCCUCUCAGUUUUUUCUUAGGCAUUGAAGCCAUACGUGAUGCUACAGGUCUCUAUCUCACUCAACGCAGAUACAUUGCCGAUCUUCUUACAAAAUCCAAAAUGGAUGGUGCUAAGCCGUGUUUCACUCCAAUGUCCACCACUGUGGCAUUGACAGCAACUGAUACCGAAGCAUUUGAUGAUCCUACCCUGUACAGAAGCAUUGUUGGUGGCCUUCAUUAUCUCUCAUUCACUUGGCCUGAUAUUGCUUUCGCCGUUCAUCGUGUUAGCAAAUUCAUGCAUCAACCGAAACAGUCCCACUGGAUGUGUAAAGAGAAUCCCGCGCUAUCUCAAACACUCCAUCUCCUACUGUUUACUAUUGUCUUGCAGCAGCUCCUUCACAUUUCAGGCGUUCUCUGAUGCAGAUUGGCAGGGGACACAGAUGAUCGUCGCUUUGUUGGUGCCUACUGUGUGUUUCUUGGCUCAAAUUUAAUUUCCUGGCGUAGCAAACAAUAGGCUAAAGUUGCUCGUAGCAAUAUCGAGGCUGAAUACAAGGCUCUCGCAGACACUGCAGCUGAACUCCAAUGGUUACAAUUUUUAGCUGCAAAACUUGGUUUGCACCUAUCUCAAAGUCCCACUCUUUGGUGUGAUAAUAUUGGUGCCACGUAUCUAUCCUCCAAUCCAGUGUUUCAUGCACGCACAGAGCACAUCAAGAUUGAUUUUCACUUUGUCAGAGAUCUUGUUUCUCAAAAGAAAUUGACUGUCAAUUUUCUGUCUAGUCGUGAUUAGCUAGCCGAUCUCCUACAAAACCACUCUUUGCUGCUCAGUUCAAUAUUCUGUGCUCCAAUCUCAACGUUUGUAACCUCCCGUUCAAAUUGCAGGGGCAUGUUGAAGAUAUUAUCAAAUCUACUGAAGAUAAUACUGAUACUGAAGAUAAACAUGAUCAGGGAUUACUAUCAGGAUCAGGGAUCACUGAUACUGAAGAUAAUUGCGAUCUCUGAUCAUAUCUGCACAAGAGAUUAUCACUGAUACUGAAGAUAAUCAUGAUCAGUGAUUACUGAUACUGAAGAUAAUAUCAUAUCUACUGAAGACAAUACUGAUACUGAAGAUAAUCAUGAUCAAGGAUUGCUAUCAUAAUCAGGGAUCCCUGAUACUGAAGAGAUCAUGAUCAGGGAUCACUGAUACUGAAGAUAAUCAUGAUCUCUGAUCAUAUCUGCACAAGAGAUUACUGAUACUGAAAAUCAUCGUAAUCAUAUCUGCAACAGAAAUUCUAGGAAUUAAGUGUAUAUCUUAUCAUUAAUUGCAUUUUUAAUGAUAGGAUUUUUGAAUCAGGGAUUGUAAUAUAUAUAAGACCAUGAUGUAACAGUAUAUCAAUUAAUAAAGCAAAUAUAUUUCUGUAAUACUUCUUCCGCACAUCUUUCUCUCUUUAUUCUUUUAUCUUUCAAGCAGUAAAUAGAAAACCCUCCUUAACAUGCAGCAUAAUAAAUAAUAACCGAGAGUUCUGUGAUGUUGCAGGCUUUUCAGCAGUUCACUGGUAUCAACACAGUCAUGUACUAUAGCCCCAACCAUUGUGCAGAUGGCUGGUUUUAGUUCCAACCAGCUAGCACUUCUCCUGUCCCUUGUUAUUGCUGCCAUGAAUGCCGCUGGAACAGUUCUUGGCAUUUACCUUAUUGAUCAUUUCGGGAGGAAAAGGUUGGCCAUCUCAAGCUUAGCUGGUGUAAUUGCAUCACUUUUCAUUCUUGCUGGAGCAUUUUUUGGCAAGUCAUCUGGUUCUUCAAAUGAACUCUAUGGGUGGAUUGCAGUUUUGGGGUUAGCCCUGUGUAUUGCUUGCUUCUCACCAGGAAUGGGACCUGUUCCAUGGACUGUGAACUCAGAGAUAUAUCCCGAACAAUAUCGAGGAAUAUGCGGGGGCAUGUCAGCUACUGUUAACUGGAUCUCCAAUCUGAUAGUAGCCCAAACUUUCCUUUCAAUUGCCGAAGCAGUAGGAACAGGUUCGACUUUCUUGAUGCUUGCGGGCACAGCAGUGCUCGCAGUUGUGUUUGUGAUUAUGUAUGUCCCAGAGACCAUGGGGCUGGCAUUUGUUGAAGUUGAGCAGAUAGGGAAGGAGAGGGCAUGGGGCAGUAGUUACAACACAGAAAGCCUUCUUGAUCAAGGAAACGACAAAUGAGUCUUAGUAGGUGCCGUGCGCACUUGCUGAGCUUGAUAAUAUCAGCGCCAAAUUGUAGGUUUAUAAAACAGUCUGUAUGAAGAUCCUUUGAAUUCAACCCCACUGCAUGAGCAGAAGCCCACUUUAUGUAAAAUUAUUUAAAAAAUAUUUUGAAAAAAAUAUUUUAAAAAGUAAUUAUUGAAAAGUAAUCGUUACCUUCCCGCCACUCUAAGCCUGGAGUAACAGGUUUCAGUGAAACCAUGGAAAUGAUGAAAUUGACAGCACUGUGUUUUUGACUUGCAUUAAACCUUACACAUUACAUGUUAUUUGAUUUCAGAUAUUGGAUGAAUAUUGUCAUCAAUCAAACCAUAAAAACAUGACUGGUAGUUGAAGUUCAGUGUAGAAGCCAUCUACCUUCCAUCUAUCUUCCCUUUCAAUGGCAUACGUAAGCCAAUACGUAUAAAAAUUGUUGUAUUUAAAAAAAGAUUGAAUUUAUUUUAUUUUAUUUUUUAUUUUAUUUUUAUUAUAUUUUUAUUAUAUUUUUUUUAUUUUUUUUAAAUGUCUCUAAAAAAAAUAAAUAGGUGUUUUGAGAAGGUUAAUUUUAAAUUUAAAUUUUUUAUUUUAGAAUCGUAAAUCAAAAGAGUUGGCAUCUAUUUAUUUUUUUUACUAUUUUUAAAAUUGUAAUUUUAUUUAAAAUUUAAUUAUUGAUACUUAAAAUGGUUCAAAACAUGAAAUUUUAUUAAAAAUUUUAAAUUUAAUUUAAUUUAAAGGAUUUCACACAUCUUUAUAACGAAAAUUGUACUCCUUUCUCUCACGUAAGUGAAAUUCAUAAAAAAAAAAAAAUCUAGGAAAUACAACAUUAUGAUCAUCACAUCAGCAGUGGUUCUUUCGGACCACACAAUUUGGACGCAAAAGGCAUACAUAAAUGCAGGCAGGAGCACUCCUACACGAGAAUGAAAAGCACAAAGACUGGUUUUGUUAAUUAGAGAAAUGGAGAAGCAAGAAAGAAUCUGUCAUGUAGCGGUCAUACCUUAUCCUGCUCAAGGUCACAUUAACCCCAUGAUCCAGUUCUCCAAGCAACUAGCCUCCAAAGGACUCCAAGUAACACUGGUCAUCUUCUCAAGCCAGACGCUCUCGACGCCUGCAUCGCUUGGCUCAGUCAAAGUGGUGACCGUUUCUGAUAGUUCUGAUACAGGCAGCAGUUCCAUAGGUGACCUUCUAAAACAAUUCCAAGCUACAGUGGCACCAAAACUGCCACAACUCGUUGUAGAACUAGGUAUCUCUUCUGGGCAUCCAGUAAGUUGCCUAGUGUAUGACUCAUUCAUGCCUUGGGUUCUAGAGAUAGCUAGACAGCUUGGCCUCAUUGGGGCUUCCUUCUUCACACAGUCAUGUGCUGUUAGCUCUGUCUACUACCAAAUCCAUGAGGGGCAGCUAAAGAUUCCACUAGAGAAGUUUCCUGUAUCAGUUCCAGGGCUGCCACCUCUAGACGUUGAUGAACUGCCAUCAUUCGUGCACGACAUGGAAUCAGAAUACUCAUCUAUACUUACCGUAGUAGUCAAUCAGUUUUUGAAUUUCAGGGGAGCUGAUUGGGUCUUUGUGAACAGUUUCAACACCCUGGAGGAGGAGGUACCCUUGAAGAAGUUACAUAAAGAAAAGUAGCAGUACUUCGAAUUCUUAAUUGAAUUCUUUUUUCUCUGCUCAUACUAAUAGAUAUUACCAUAUUUGCAAAGUAUGCUGCCUUCAAUUCUAUGGCACUCAAGAUUUUGCUUAUUUGUAUCAGGUGGUAAACUGCCUGGCAAGCCAGAGGUCAAUCAAGCCAAUAGGACCCAUGAUUCCAUCAGUUUACUUGGACAGGCAGCUAGAGGAUGACACGGAGUAUGGCCUCAGCCUCUUCAAACCUGCUCUCGACGGUUGCAUGCAAUGGCUAGAGUCAAAGGAAACUGGCUCCGUGGUUUACGUGUCAUUUGGAAGCAUGGCUGCUCUGGGAGAAGAGCAAAUGGCAGAAAUAGCUUGGGGCCUAAGGAGGAGCGACUGCUACUUCUUGUGGGUAGUCAGAGAAUCGGAAGAGAAAAAACUUCCAUGCAACUUUGUGGAGGGGUCCUCAGAGAAGGGUCUGAUUGUGACCUGGAGCCCUCAGCUAGAGGUUCUGUCUCACAAGUCUGUUGGUUGCUUCAUGACUCAUUGCGGGUGGAACUCGACGCUUGAAGCGUUGAGCUUAGGAGUGCCAAUGGUGGCAGUGCCACAGUGGACUGAUCAACCAACAAAUGCGAAGUACAUAGCAGAUGUUUGGCGUGUAGGAGUUAGAGUGAAGGCAAAUGAAAAGGGGAUUGUCACAAAGGAAGAGUUAGAAAAGUGUACGAGGGAAGUCAUGGAAGGUGAAAGAGGGAGUGAGAUGAGAAGGAAUUCUGAGAAAUGGAAGAAACUAGCCAAAACAGCCAUGGGUGAAGGUGGAAGCUCUGAUAAGAAUAUUACGGAAUUUGCAGCAAAAAUUGCUAGCAAGUUCAAUGAAACCACAGAUUCAAAAGCGUGAAAGCUAUGCAUGGCUUUAAAACUUGGAAAAAUGCUUCUUCUCCAUCAAUUUAUUUUACAAGAUUCGAUGAUAGUUGUCAUAUGAAGUAUGAACUAUAAAAUACAAGAUCCAAAUCAUGUUUUCAUGAUGAAAGAAAUAAUAUCAUGUUACUCCAUUUCAAUCUCUUUUCUUCUUCUUAUUUUUUAGAAAAAAAUCAAUUAUAAACAAAAAUAAACGGUUAAGAUUCACACUUUGAUAUAUUACACAUAAGAUUUUUAUUAACAUGUGUGAGAAUAUUGUUCUGUCAAUUAUUCAUUAUGAUUUAGAAAGACAAGUCACAAGCCAACACACAUUUCCAAACAAGCAUUAAAGAUUGAACAAUGAUGGAAAAAAUAAGUCAAAAAAAUCAAAAACCAAGUCCCCAUGGGCAAAAUUCGACCACAAUUUUGUGGUGAGGAGGAAUUGGAUGGAAAUUCAACAACGUUCAAAUUUCAAGGGUGCCGAACCCAUACAUUUUUUGCUUCACCUAUUUUUGAGUCAAAACAAUAGUUUGAGUAGUGGAUAUGAGGUAGACGAGUUGUUAGAUAUAUUAUUCAUGGGUUUGGUAUCAUACCGAGUCCAAGUAAGUAGGAGUCCGAUAAGGUACUAGACUUAGUUUUUCAUGCCAAAAUGUAUUAAAAUAAUAUUUUUUUAUUUUUUUAAAAUUAUUUUUGAAAUUAACGUAUCAAAACAUUUUAAAAUAUACAAAUAUUAAUUAUUUUUAUAAAAAUUUAAAAUUUUAUACAACAUGAUUUAUACUGCAUUUCUAAACGAUGUCUUAGCUUCCUUAUACUUUGCUAAACACCAAGCCUUUAUUAAUCAUGUAUCCAGGGAACUAUCAGAUUUAUUAUUCGUAAACUUGAUUGCACAUCAAGCACAUUUAAACAUGGAUAUGGCGACCUUCUCAAACUGGGCUUGGCUUCAAAUUUCAUUCGAACGGCUGAGAAGCUGAAACAUGAAAAACAACAUUUUGUUGUUGAGUAGCAUCCUGUCGAUCAAUUUUCCCGCAAGAUUAUUAGGCGUAAGAGGCAUCAUCAUCGUGGCAGAGUAGAUACGUGCACCCAUAAUAUAAGCUUGAUCUUGGGAAAUUUUCUUAUUUUUGAAGAUUUUGAUAUCUUAGCAAAUAUAUUUGUUAGCAACAACAAAUUGCUAACGUAAGCAAAAAAAAAAAGAAAAUUUAACAUGUAAAAUAUAAAUUUUACAUCGAAUCAAUGUGAAAAUAUAAUUAUUUGUGAGCAUGGAUUUAUUGAUUAUCAAUGUGAAAAUAUAAAUCUCGCUAACGUAAAAAAAAAGAAUUAAUAUGUAAAAUAUAAGUUAGUCAACAAAAACAAUCCAAUAAAUGAUUGACACACGUCAAUUCAAAAUUUAAAAAUAAAAAAUAAUCUUAAAUAAAAAAAGGAUGAAAAUCAAUUUUUUUAAUGAAAUAAAAAAAUAUUGUUAUCCAUAAAUAUAAUUACCCUUGCGUGAGCACAUGCCCUUUAUGGGGUAUCAGAUUCAGGAAUACAGGGCUUGAAAGCAUUGUAUGAACAGUUUUUGUUCGCCAUUAUCCAACGAUGGGCCUUUUUCUGUUAUUUCUUCGAAAAUGAAGUUUAAUUUUUUAACUUUAUUUUAUUUAUUUAAAUAUGCACACCUUGGAAAAUGACCCUCGCCCAUUUUUAAAACAACCCAGAAUCCAAGAAUUAAUCAAAAUCACCAAAAGAUCAUUCACUCUCUUGUAUGGGUCAUAGUUAUAGAACCGAAUUCUCUUGGGGAGUUGACUCAGGAUUUAAUAUCUAGAUUUAUCCGAGCAAAGAAAAAACUAAGAGAGAAAUUGAUUUGAUCUAAUCUGAUUAAAAACUAAAGUUGAUUUGUGAUCCAAUCAAUCUCGAUAAAACCUAACAAAAAAUAUGUUAGAGUUUUUAUAUAUAUAUAUAUAUAUAUAUAUAUAUAUAUAUAUAUAAAACGAUUAGUAAACCCUCCUAAUUUAAUGAACAAGCCUUAUUUCAAAUCGAUUUCCGGCCUUAUUUCAAAUCGAUUUCCAUAUCAAAUUUUUAAAACUAUAGCAUGGAUGAUCAACCUCGUAAUUAUGGUUUAUUUGUUUCUAUGUUUUAAAAACGUUUUUAAAAAUUUUAAAUUUUUUUUAUUUUUUUCUUUGUUUCAAAUUAAUAUUUUUGUUUUUUUCGGAUCAUUUUGAUCUAUUGUUGUUAAAAAUAAUUUUUAAAAAUAAAAAAUAUAUUAUUUUAAUGCAUUUCUAAGCAAAAUACACUUUAAAAAAUAAUCAUUACCACCCUUUUAAACACCUUUUGAAAAAAAAAAAGAAAAAUAAUUUUGCUUUUUAGUAAAAGAAAUUUGUGUGAACAUGAACCGUCCUUUUCUUAUCAGAGACUCCUGGAAACUGUUAACAUUAGAGCUCCUUUCUUCACCUUCCGAGGGAUAGUUGAUGACUCUACGGAGGACGGUCUUUCGUCUCUCUGAUACAGAGUUUGAAUGGCAUUGGCUAUUGAUGAAUUUCUCGCAUGGAAAAACUUUUGGGCAUUGGCUGUUAGAUUCUGGUGGGUGUUUUGGAUUAGAUCUGAAGUCAUAUUCUCUGAAUUAUAUUCAUUGAGGGCAUGAUAUGGUCCUAGGUCCCUGGCAUGAGCCUAGUGAUAUGCUUAGUUAGCCUUAAUAAAUUUUAAACUAACAAGGGCACAAUGUAAUAACAUCCAAGUUCUUGAACCGAUUUAGUUUAAAAUUUUUGUUGGCUCUGCCUUAACGUUAAGGCUGAAAGAGAAAUCUGGUUACUGAAUAUAGAGAGUGCUUUGAUGCAAAGGUCCGUGCCUAACUCCUCUUCUCUUCCAGAAAUAGAAUUCAUAUGUGUGAGUUAUCCAUCAUCUUUUAUCUGUAUUGAGUCCCUUGCUGCUUAUUGACCGUAUAUUUAGGUAAUCAUACGAGUUUAAUGAUAUAAUUAAUUUAAGAAAGAAGAAGUAUAGCAGAGAAGAAGUCUGUGGUCAGGGAUUAUUCAGUAUUGUUGUUACCUAAUUUUUUAUCCAUCUUUUUAAUAAAAUUUUGGAAAAAAAACUAAAAAUAAGGAAAAACAACAAAAAUCCAAAAAAUAUGUUUUUUAAUAUAUUUGCAUUGUUUUUAGUAUUUUCAGUAUCGUCUCAAAAAAAAUUAAUUUUUCAAAGAACUUUGGAACGCGUUAUUUUUAAAAUCACCGAUUUUUCUCAUUCGAGUCGAUGUUGAUAAGAAAAAUCUAAAUAGAAACGUUCGUGACCCGCAGAUCUAGAUCCAUUUCCAACCGAACUCGCCGACUGGACAACCACACCCAUCUCCUUAACAGCAACGGUCGUGACCCGCCACCGCUAGAUCUGCCACCAGAAGGAGAGGGAAAGAACAACAAACCAAAAAAGACUCGAAAGAAGCAGAUCAGGAGAAGGAGAAGAAAAAAAAGGAUCCGUGAAAAAGGAGAAAGAAAUUAAAAUCAACUGGCUUGUGUGUUUUUCUCCUUUUGCAGGUGAUAGUGAUCAUCACCGCUGGUGACGAAAGGAAAAGGAGAAGAAGCUAAUCUCGACCGCCCUGUUUCCCUGUUGUUCUCGCGGACUGUUCUUGCAGUUCUGAAGGCCUUCCCUGCAAUUCCUAGAGUUUUUUGGGUUUAUUUUGUAAAUUUAAAAAAAUUUAAUGUAGUUUUUGUUUAGUUUUGAAUUUUUAUAAUAUGUAGUGUGCAAAUGUGGAUGUAAAAAAGGAAAACAAAAAAAAAUAUAGUGAAAGUGAAUGUGUUGUUUGUAUUUUUUUUAUGGAUGUUUUUUUAUGAUAAAAUUACAAAGAAUAAAGAAAAAUUUAAUGUUUUGACUUGCUCACGGUAAAGGAUUAUAAACUUACACGUAAGUUGUAUUUCUAAUAUCCGAUGAAAGGAUAAAAUUUUUAAAACUUCUUUAUCAUAUCAAAUCACGAAGCAGCUUACCUCAGGUAGGGUGCGUUAGGGGUGCUAAUACAUUUUCUAGCCACAACCAAUCCCUUACCCUUGAAUCUCUGACGAUGACCAAUGCAUUUGGGUUUCCUAGUAACCUUUACUGAAAUACUAGAUGGCGACUCUCAAAUCAUCAAUCAAACAAAUGAAAAUCGCCAACAGACACCGCGCGGGUCAUUUGCGACAAGUACCGUUCUAUUAAAAAUAACUUUGGCAUUUAUAGCCAUACACUUCAUAACAGAAUUAACAAACAAACAAAUAAGAAGGAGUUCCAGCACUCUCCACGUCUAACAAUUAACCAACUGAUCCAUGUUUUGCAGUUCCCUAAAGUAGUGCAGUCACUACUUGUUCCUGUAGCAUGAUCUCCUGGCCACGUUCUUGUGAUAGUGGAUGUGUCAUUCCCGCCCACUUAAGAAUCCUUGUCCAUAAGGAUAGAAGAAGGAUAAGUCCUAGUGAAACGCCAUUCAUUCUCCACUGAUUCGAGUUGGCCAUUCACAGUGUCCUCACUGCAUAUGUUAGGAGAAUCCCAAAUCAUAAAUAAUUGUGGAUGUUGGCAACGAUUCCUCGAAUAAACUUUUCAUCACAGUAGUAGCACAAACCCUUCUCUCUUUGCUCUCGUGCCUCUUGAUUAGUAAUUUUGCAAAAAGACGCUGGUGGUGCACUGGGACUGGUAUUUAUCCUUGGACCUUGUGGCGGCCCUAACACUCCAGCCGUGGGGUUGGGUGAUGUCUUCGCUAUCACUGAGGUUGGUACUGGGUUUGGUACAGACUGUAUUGGGAGAGGGCCUCUCUUCUUCAAUUGAUUUCUUUCCUCGAUCAAUCUUGCCAUUCCAAUGGUAUCUGCUAAGGUAUGGGGUUGCUUGAUUUUAACAUCCAAACGAAUCUCAUCCUGAAGUCCUGCAAUAAAACAACGAAUCAAAAAAUUUCCCGGCAAACCAUCAACUUGAUGUGGGAGUCUCUCAAAAGUCUCUUAAUAAGCUACCACCGACGUGUUUUGUUUAAGAUGAGUCAAGGCUUCAGACGGGUCCUCAUAGUCGGUUGGACCGAAUCUCUGUUGUAUAGCCUUGAUAAACUCAUCCCAUGUUAGUGGUUCACGAAACUUGGUCAACCACCUAUGCCACUAUAAGGCAAUGCCCUCUAAAUGGAAAGAGGCCAAUUAAACCUGCUGGUUUGGCACAAUAUUUUGAAAUUUAAAAUAUUAUUUUGCCUUGUAAAUCAAUCCAGUUGGAUCACCUGCAUUAAAUUUUGGAAAUGAUAACCUGAGAUUGUGGUGUUGAUGGUUAUUAAUGGGGUUAGGGUGGGUGGUCUGGUGGUGUGAAGACUCUUCAUUAGCAAAGGUGUUAAUUUCAGGAGAACUAGUGUUUAGGUUACGAGUAGUAUGAAGAGCUUGAAGUUCUGUCAAUACCACUUAUAAGGUAGCAUUAAUUUCAUCAAAGCUCGACUCGUGUCUAACUAGGAUUUCAUUGACUUCAUUGUGAAAUUAUGUGUUUGAUUUGCCGCGAGUAUCCAUGGUCUAAACCAAGAAUAACUAGGGUGAACUAGGACCUGUGGGUUAUGGGGAACAGGCUCUGAUACCACUGAUAUAAUUAAUUUAAGAAAGAAGAAGCAUAGCAAAGAAGAUCGAAGUCUGUGGUUAGGGAUUAUUCAGUACCCUUCUAUUAAAAAAAACUUUGACAUUUAUAGUCAUAUACUUCGUAACAGAAUUAACAAACAAAAAGGAAGGAGUUACAACACUCUUCACGUCUAACAAUUAACUAACUUAUCCAUGUUCUGCAGUUCCCUAAAGUAGUGCAGUCACUACUUGUUCCUGUAGCAUGAUCUCCUGGCCACGUUCUUGUGAUAGAGGAUGUAUCAUUUAAGUGCUUCUGGCACCGUGACAGUGUUUGAAAUAUGGAUCAUCUGAUAUUCUUUCCAUUGAAAUACACUAGUGUCCAGGUGAAACACAAAAGGAGCCAUGAUCAGCUAACAAAAUUCAAGCAGUAAAUAGAAAACCCUCCUUAACAAGCACCGUACCAAAUAAUAACCGAUAGUUAUGUGAUGUUGCAGGCCUUUCAGCAGUUCACUGGUAUCAACACAGUCAUGUACUAUAGCCCAACCAUUGUGCAGAUUGCUGGUUUUAGUUCCAACCAGUUAGCACUUCUCCUGUCCCUUGUUAUUGUUGCCAUGAACGCCGCCGGAACAGUUCUUGGCAUUUACCUUAUUGAUCAUUUCGGGAGGAAAAAGUUGGCCAUCUCAAGCUUAGCUGGUGUAAUUGCAUCACUUUUCAAUAUUCUUGCUGGAGCAUUUUUUGGCAAGUCAUCUGGUUCUUCAAAUGAACUCUAUGGGUGGAUUGCAGUUUUGGGGUUAGCGCUGUGCAUUGCUUGCUUCUCACCAGGAAUGGGACCUGUUCCAUGGACUGUGAACUCAGAGAUAUAUCCCGAACAACAUCGAGGAAUAUGUGGGGGAAUGUCAGCUACUGUUAACUGGAUCUCCAAUCUGAUAGUAGCUAGCCCAAAGUACUUUCCUUUCAAUUGCCGAAGCAGUAGGAACAGGUUCGACUUUCUUGAUGCUUGCGGGCAUAGCAGUGCUCGCAGUUGUGUUUGUGAUUAUGUAUGUCCCAGAGACCAUGGGGCUGGCAUUUGUUGAAGUUGAGCAGGUAUGGAAGGAGAGGGCAUGGGGCAGUAGUUACAACACAGAAAGCCUUCUUGAGCAAGGAAACGACAAAGGAGUCUUAGUAGGUGCCGUGCGCACUUGCUGAGCUUGAUAAUAUCAGCGCCAAAUUGUAGGUUUAUAAAACAAUCUGUAUGUAUUGGAGCUAUAACUAAAUCUGCUCUGCCCGUAAAAUCUUGUGCAUGAAGAUGCUUUGAAUCCAACCCCACUGCAUGAGCAGAAGCCCCUCACUUUCAUGUAAAAUUACUUCACGUAAAAAAAUAUUUUGAAAAGUAAUUGUUAGGAAACUUCCAACUACUCUGAAAAGCAUGGAGUAACAGGCUUUAGUUUUACCAUGGAAAUGAUGAAAUUGACAGCACACUUGUUUUACUAGCAUUAAACCUAACACAUUACAUGUUAUUUAAUCAAACCAUAAAGACAAGAAAAAUGACUGGUAGUUGAAGUUUAGGGUAGAAGCCAUCUACCUUCCCUUGCAAUUGCAUUCGUAAGCCAAUACGUAUGAAAAUUGUUGUAUUUAAAAAAUAUCGAAUUCAAUUUAUUUUAUUUUUUAUAUUAUUUUUAUUUUAUUUCUUUUAUUUCUUUAAAUAUUUCUAAAAAAUAAUAAAUAGGUGUUUUGAGAAGGUUACUUUUAAAUUUAAUUUUUUUAUUUUAGAAUUGUAAAUCAAAACAGUAUCUAUUUAUUUUUUUAUCAUUUCUAAAAAUUAAAUUCUAUUUAAAAUUUAAUUAUUAAUACUUAAAAUGGUUCAAAACAUGUGUUUUUAUUAAAAAAUAAUAAUUUAAUUUAAUUUAGAGGAUUUCAAAAGAUGCUUUAUAGGAAAAUUGUACUCCCUUCUCUCACGUAAAAGACUGGUUCUUUCGGACCACACAAUUUGGACGCAAAAGGCAUACAUAAAUGCAGGCAGGAGUACUCCUACACGAGAAAGAAAAGCACAAAGACUGGUGUUGUUAAUUAGAGAAAUGGAGAAGCAAGAAAGAAUCUGUCAUGUAGUGGUCAUACCUUAUCCUGCUCAAGGUCACAUUAACCCCAUGAUCCAGUUCUCCAAGCGCCUAGCCUCCAAAGGACUCCAAGUAACACUGGUCAUCUUCUCAAGCCAGACGCUCUCGACGCCUGCCUCGCUUGGCUCAGUCAAAGUGGUGACCGUUUCUGAUAGUUCUGAUACAGGCAGCAGUUCCAUAGGUGACCUUCUAAAACAAUUCCAAGCUACAGUGGCACCAAAACUGCCACAGCUCGUUGUAGAACUAGGUAUCUCUUCUGGGCAUCCAGUAAGUUGCCUAGUGUAUGACUCAUUCAUGCCUUGGGUUCUAGAGAUAGCUAGACAGCUUGGCCUCAUUGGGGCUUCCUUCUUCACACAGUCAUGUGCUGUUAACUCUGUCUACUACCAAAUCCAUGAGGGGCAGCUAAAGAUUCCACUAGAGAAGUUUCCUGUAUCAGUUCCAGGGCUGCCACCUCUAGACGUUGAUGAACUGCCAUCAUUCGUGCACGACAUGGAAUCAGAAUACUCAUCUAUACUUACCCUAGUAGUCAAUCAGUUUUUGAAUUUCAGGGGAGCUGAUUGGGUCUUUGUGAACAGUUUCAACACCCUGGAGGAGGAGGUACCCUUGAAGAAGUUACAUAAAGAAAAGUAGCAGUACUUCGAAUUCUUAAUUGAAUUCUUUUUUCUCUGCUCGUACUAAUAGAUAUUACCAUAUUUGCAAAGUAUGCUGCCUUCAAUUCUAUGGCACUCAAGAUUUUGCUUUUUUGUAUCAGGUGGUAAACUGCCUGGCAAGCCAGAGGUCA
rnacentral:lncRNA from 1 species